UACGAAGGGGGCUAGCGUUGUUCGGAAUUACUGGGCGUAAAGCGCACGUAGGCGGAUCCUUAAGUCAGGGGUGAAAUCCCGAGGCUCAACCUCGGAACUGCCUUUGAUACUGGGGAUAUCGAGUCCGGGAGAGGUGAGUGGAACUGCGAGUGUAGAGGUGAAAUUCGUAGAUAUUCGCAAGAACACCAGUGGCGAAGGCGGCUCACUGGCCCGGUACUGACGCUGAGACGCGAAAGCGUGGGGAGCGAACAGG
rnacentral:rRNA from 1 species